rnacentral:tRNA from 1 species
GAUUAAAUGGCUGAAGUUUAGGCGAUAAAUUGUAAUUUAUAUAUAAGAGUAAUUCUUUUUAAUCA